GCCCAUUUGGCUCAGUGGAUAGAGCAUCAGCCUGUGAAGUGCAGGGCCCCUGGUUUGAUUCCAGUCAAGGGCA
rfam:Myotis brandtii contig273149, whole genome shotgun sequence.